CCUGGGAGCCACCCUGGAGCAGGUGGAGAUGCGGGGCGGCGAUGAAGGCGUGUGAGAAGAUGGCCUGAGCGUCCUCGUCAAGGGCAGUUUUGGCUACCUCCUCCCACCUCGGCUUGUUUUUCUCUCCUCCACCGUUGCUACUUCCUCGCUGCUCUCCAAUGAGUGAUUGGGUUUGUCCGCUUGGUGGAGCAGGCAGGGAGCAAGUAGGCAAAUAUGGGAGAAGGAGAAUGACCCUGACGAGAUGGCUGCCAUAGGGUCGUGACCUUCUUUAGCAUGCACAUCGGCACCGUCCCCGCGUCCGCAGCAGGGGGACGACAAUGGCUGCAAGUGACGGCACAGGAGCCCAUCUUAGUCGAGCACCCUCCCAGGAUUUUACUACUGUUAUGGCAAAAGAAGGCUAAAGCUGGGAAAGACAACAAUGUCAGGAGC